CCUACGGGGGGCAGCAGUAGGGAAUAUUGCUCAAUGGGGGAAAGCCUGAAGCAGCAACGCCGCGUGAAGGAUGAAGGUCCUCGGAUUGUAAACCUCUUUUGUUAGAGAAGAUAAUGACGGUAUCUAACGAAUAAGCACCGGCGAAAUCCGGGCCAGCAUCCGCGGUAAUACGGAGGGUGCCAGCGUUACUCGGAAUCACUGGGGGUAAAGCGCGCGUAGGCGGGAUUGCAAGUCAGAUGUGAAAACCUAGGGCUUAACCAUAGAACUGCAUUUGAAACUGUUAUUCUAGAGUUUGGGAGAGGUAGGUGGAAUUCGUGGUGUAGGGGUAAAAUGCGUAGAGAUCAAGAGGAAUACUGAUUGCGAAGGCGACCUGCUGGAACAUAACUGACGCUGAUGCGCGAAAGCGUGGGGAGCGAACAGGAUUAGAUACCCGAGUAGUC
rnacentral:rRNA from 1 species